rnacentral:tRNA from 1 species
UAGCUCAGCUGGUAGAGCAUGGUGUUUGCAACGCCAGGGUUGUGGGUUCGAUUCCCAU